ensembl:lncRNA
CAGGUCCAAAAUAUAAAUAUGACUUUAUUUCACAAUCCCGAAAGAGAUCAGCCAUCCAUAAAAGGAAUGCUAAAUUUAUUCUCUUCUCAAGUCUAAACUGGAUAUACUUUAAGCGACGUACAGUAAUUCAGUUUCAAAAUAAGCAAGAUCACCCAUUGUCUAAACACCAGUAACAAUACAGUAAAAACAAUGUGGUUCACAUACAUAUUUACACAUUUUCUACUAAGAAUUUUUUUUCCCCAUUUUUUUUAAUGCUGGUGCUCGUUGUUAGUUCUUUGUUGAUUAAAAAAUGUUCAUUGUGGACUCAAAAUGUCCCCCACAGUAAGUCGAGAGAAACAUUUAAAACUGUAAUUUCAUCACGUGAUGUUCAAAAAAUAUUCUUUCUAAAUUUAACUCAUUUAAAAACCAGUUUUACAUUCAUUUUUAUUUGUGUGUUAUGUUGUGACUGCUGCAGAGUUGGAUUUAACUGUGGAAGACAUUUGAACUCUAUGUGGACAUCUGCCCAUAGUGCGCUGUUUUACUUGUACUUGACAAAUUAAGGUAUGUCAUGAUGUUGCCAGCCGGUAACGACCAGAAGAAAUGAACUGAACUGAAUCAAAUACAGGAUCAGUGAGUGCUGAGUUUCAAAAAGCACCGUGCCAUCACUGUUAUACAGUACAUAAGCAGGUUGCGUCAAUGCAUGUACCUUGACAUCUUGUCCUAUUAGCACCAAAAGGAAGUCAAAGUGUUUAAAAGACCCAAAUGCAUCUGCAGGAAAUGUUAUGCCAUCAGUUUUAGUGUGAAUAUUAUAUGUCUCUAUCUCUUGUGCUAACUGAUUCAUUCUUAAAAUUAAGAGCUUUGCUUGUAUGGGUAACAGAAAAAUAACAAGGAAGAAAUCCUGAUGAAUCAGGAGUUGACAACAACUCCCCUUUUUUAGACCCUGUAAAAAAGCGUUCUGUAAACAAAGUUUUCACAAAGGUCGAGCACCCGAAAUCGUCUUAGGCAGCUGGCUAAGUGGGAUCUGGUGUUUGAGUGGUUUCACAACAAAAGCACAGACAAGGGAAAAGAAACAGUUUGAUUAUUCAGCAGUGGCUAAUGCAGCUUAUGCUCACACUUAAGAGUAUGGACAUAAAAGCUGAGCAUGAUCUGUUGACAUAUCUGACACUUUGUGGUUUCUGGAAAGAAAAAAAAAACGGUCUCCUUAGCACCAAUAUCAUGUACAGUAGGUGUUUUAAUUCCUAUAAUCACUCUUGUUCCCUAUAAAAAACUGAAUUCCUUUUCCAGAAGCUGAACGUAAGUAAAGUGCAAAUGAUGAUAAGCACUUUACCGAUGUAGCAUUUCAUUAUUCCUCGCUAGGUGUUUAGUUUCAUUAGAUAUGUAUGCCAUCUUCAAUCAAAUGAGUGAAAUGUAAUUAAGUGCAGAAAUACUGUAAAAAAAAAAAAAAAAAGGAUUAAUGCUAAACUGUCAUAUAUAUCUCUGUCUGUACAUACAUAUUCAGGCCUAUGGACUGGGACCCUUUUCAAGUUAGGUUUAAAAAAAAAGUGCUUUUUAAUAUGCCAUACAUAUCUGUGAAUAAAAGACAAACUAUCCAGAUGUGGAUAUAACGAAUAAACAAACAACAAACCGAGGAAGUGCAUUUCUUUCAUCAACUGCCGACAGAAGUCAGAGGCAGCAGAAGGAAAUGCACAAUGCUACAUGUGACAAUCUGUAGUAAAAAUAUGCAGAAUAUUAGUCUUGUUUUCUACAUAAUGUGAUGUAAUGAGUU